rnacentral:rRNA from 1 species
UACGUAGGCAGCAAGCGUUGUUCGGAGCUACUGGGCGUAAAGGGUGUGUAGGCGGUUCUUUAAGUUUGGGGUGAAAUCUCCCGGCUCAACUGGGAGGGUGCGCCGAAUACUGAGGGACUAGAGUACGGGAGAGGAAAGUGGAAUUCCUGGUGUAGCGGUGAAAUGCGUAGAUAUCAGGAGGAACACCGGUGGUGUAGACGGCUUUCUGGACCGUAACUGACGCUGAGACACGAAAGCGUGGGUAGCAAACAGG